rnacentral:misc_RNA from 1 species
CUUCCAGUGCUGCUGUUACUAUUGUUGCUCGGGGCACCGGCUUCCCAAAACCGUGAACUGCUGAUUGGGAAAGACGCCAAUGAAGGGUCGUCGGAGGGAACAGUAACGGAGGGCUUGAAAGCCAUCGAUGUAGAAAGAAAUGAACUUGUUGUAGGUGGAAGGAUGGUGGGUAUUGAACUGGAAGAGAAUUCGGAGUUAACAUCCAAAGAUUUGCUGGUUUGUGUAAACCAGGGGGAGGGGAUUGAGUUGGUUGUGAGCCUGGCAUUAGACGCAUAAUUCAAUUGCUGAAGAGGGAAAUGCCCCAC